rnacentral:rRNA from 1 species
AAUUUUGGACAAUGGGGGAAACCCUGAUCCAGCCAUCCCGCGUGUAUGAUGAAGGCCUUCGGGUUGUAAAGUACUUUUGGCAGAGAAGAAAAGGCAUCCCCUAAUACGGGCUGAUGCUGACGGUAUCUGCAGAAUAAGCACCGGCUAACUACCUGCCAGCAGCCGCGGUAAUACGUAGGGUGCAAGCGUUAAUCGGAAUUACUGGGAGUAAAGCGUGUGUAGGCGGUUCGGAACGAAAGAUGUGAAAUCCCGGGGCUACACCUUGGAACUUCAUUUUUUACUGCCGGGCUAGAGUAUGUCAGAGGGGGGUAAAAUUCCACGUGUAGCAGUGAAAUGCGUAGGUAUGUGGAGGAAUACCGAUGGCGAAGGCAGCCCCCUGGGAUAAUACUGACGCUCAGACACGAAAGCGUGGGGAGCAAACAGG